AUCGUAUAUAAUAAUAAAGCUACUAAAUUGAUAAACAGAUGUAUGUUUUAUCUUUUUCCUUUUCCUUCUGUCACUGAUCUUUAGUUACUGCAGGUGGAGCAAGGAGGAACAAUCAGCAGAUCUAGCAUUUAUUUUGCUCAAGCUACAUGUUAUUACUAUAAUAAACAGUGUGCCUUCAUUCAACAGGCUAUCAUGGAGCUCUUAUUGGGCACGUUACAGCUAGAUGAUGACAAAUUGGAUCCUGCUCAACAACACCCCAUUGUAUAGAGGUUUUUUCACGGCAAGAGCAUUUGUGUAUUUUGAAAUGCUUGGUCAUGACCUGUAUGUGCUAGAGAAAGAAUGGCUUCACAGGUUUACGACAAAACUUUGACAGGUUAGGUCUCAUUUCCAGAUGAUGUUAAAUUCCGUAUGUAUAUGUCACCAACUUACGAUAUUAUAUCCAUGGCGCACUCUGUUUAGAUAUUAGUGUAUUGGUUGUCCAUGAAGAUGUAGGCAUUGUUCACAGAAGCUAAAACCAAAAUUAUCCCGUGAUUCCAAAGUGAGUUUCUUCCCCUCAAAAUAAGCACUUUCUAUGAUUACCAUUAGUAUGCUAUUACUUCUGGCUAUGGUUAUGCUUGAUGGGUGAGGUGCUCAUCAUUUAUUUGGUUUUAAUUGGUUGUAACAAUCAGUCGAUGAUAUUAUGCAUCACCAUCAAGUUU